rnacentral:lncRNA from 14 species
GAUUUAAACUGGGUUUUUCAGUUUUGCAUCUUGUUUUGACAUGACUUGCAGCUACUGAAAGUAUUUCAUGUGUUCUCACCUGAUUUGAUGUAAGACCUUGCAGUGUGUCAAUUACCGUGAGUCGAAGCAGAAGGAAGUUAUCAAGGUACUUCUGUAGCUUGGUCCUAUUAAGCUCUACACAAAGUUCCUCAGACUGCCAAGUUCUUUCCAGUCUACUCAGUCUACAGUCUUCCUCUGCAGUAGCCAUGAUUUUCACUUCUGGUGGAGCUUCCUUCAAUCAGUUUAUAAAACUCAAACUAGUACAGUGUGAGCUUUCUCACCUGGCGGCACAGGAUGACUGUGGCAACGAAGAGGGAGACGUUCCCAUUCUCCAUCUGAAGCAAGAGCCACAAAGGACAAACAAUCUUAUAACUCAGCACUAGACUUAGCAGAGGAAUUGCUUCUGAAUCCUAUGGAUCCUGGUUUAUGCCGGUAAUCUCUGAAGUUUUUGCUGGGGAGACAGUGCACUGUAACAAAAACCCAUCUACAACAAAGCAAAGAUCAAUACACAGUGUUUGCCUUGCUUGGUUAUAUGUAGAUAACUCUUGACCCUGUGCUCUUUAGAGGAACUAGUAACACCACAGCUAUCUUCCUGUACUCAUGUGCCUUUAUAUGAACCAAGCAAUCUAAUUAAUGUAUUUAUUAAAAAAUGUGUAAAAUCAUAUAUCUCCCAGUACAUCUGAUGUACCUUAUUUAACUGUUAAAGAGCAAUCCAUUUAUAUUUGAAUCACCUUCACAUUAGUAACAAUCAAGAGCAGAGCGGCAAACAUGUAUGUUCUGAAGUUCUUGCUAUCAAAGCCAUCAGAUUCUGUAAAUCUAUUAUCAAGAUUUCUUCAUCUUACCUAGAAACAUUUCAGUCCUACAGAUUAUCACAUCACAAAACCUGGCUACUUUGCCAUUCUGCAAAAGGCUUUUUUUUGUGAGCGAAAUAAAACUCCAAACCUAUUUCUGCUUCUCA